AUGCUGGCCCCCAGCUCCGCCAUGGGGAAGGCGCAGAGUGCCGCCCUGGGUGCCCCCUGGGCCCGGCAACCCCUAGCAAGGUGCCCGGGCAAGGAAGGCGGCCUGGAUGAGGCCCUGGCCCUGGCAGUCGAGGGGGACCUCCACAUAGGAGUACAGGUUGGUGUCCCCCAGGCAGACGCGGGCCACGUAGGAGCGGUACUCAGCCUGGGCCCGGGCCCCACGGCGGCGGAACACAAAGUAGGCGGAGCGGGUGUCGGCAAAGGCCCCCACGUAGCUGUUGUUGUAGUCGGAGAAGUCGCCUACCACCAGGCGGCCCAGGCCCUCGCUGGAGAAGGGCUGAGGCCCUGCCAGCUGGCGGAUGGCCAGGGGUGGCACCCCUGCCGACAGCUUGCCCGCCAGGCCUCUGGCCACAAGCAGGAGGUCCUGGCCGGGCAAGGGCACCACCAGCCCCACUGUGGCCACUCCCGGGGUAUUGGCAGCCACAAACUGCCCGUCACCAGGGUCCUCGGCCUGGUACAGCACCUCGGCCACAUCCCCGAGGCGCCGUGUCUCACACACACCCUGCCGCACCUGCCCACAGGCCACCAGUUCCUGGGCACGGCUGCUCACCAGCAGCAGCUGGUUGGCAUUGUCAGUGAGCUGAGCCUGUGGGCACUCAGCCGGGUCACGGAAGGGCACACAGUCGGGGCUGUCGAUGACAGGGCCAGUGACAGCCAUGGCCUCGAGCUGCAGCUCAGGGCUGAGCUGGAAGAGGCGGUUCACGGCGCCGACAUAGAGUGUGCCUCGGCCAGGCGCCAGUGCCAAGUGGUUGAGAGUGGUGUUAGGUGCGGAGAAGCGAUGGGCCCCUGUCAAGGGCAGUGGUGGUGGGGACAGCAGCAGCAGGAGGAGGCAGAGGCCGAAGGAGAACAGAAACAUCAGGGGCCUGAGAGGCACAGGUCAGGCAGUGGAGGGCAGAUAGAAGACCAGAGGAAGGUGGAAGGCGGGGUGGAGAGAGGCCAGGGUGCUCAGGGCCUGGGAGCAGGGGAGGCAGAGAGAUGGAGGGCGAGGGAGAGUGAACAAAGAGACGAGCACAGAGAGGGGACAGAAGGAACAAGACAGAGUCCACUGGACAAAGCAGGGAGGGUGCAGGGGCAGGUCCUGGAAAGCCGCAAGAGCGCUAACAGAGGGACUCUGAGUCACAGAGCGGGCAGGGGAGGGAGGGAGGCCAUGGGAGCUGGAAGGCUGGCGGAAGCUGUGUCACAACGCGCCCCUGCGCCCACCACCCAGACAAGAGAGAUGGAAGUGGAGUGA
rnacentral:lncRNA from 1 species